rnacentral:rRNA from 1 species
UAACCUGCCUUGGAGUGGGGAAUAACAGGUGGAAACAUCUGCUAAUACCGCAUGAUGCAGUUGGGUCGCAUGGCUCUGACUGCCAAAGAUUUAUCGCUCUGAGAUGGACUCGCGUCUGAUUAGCUGGUUGGCGGGGUAACGGCCCACCAAGGCGACGAUCAGUAGCCGGACUGAGAGGUUGGCCGGCCACAUUGGGACUGAGACACGGCCCAG